rnacentral:rRNA from 1 species
AGCAGCCGCGGUAAUUCCAGCUCCAAUAGCGUAUAUUAAAGUUGUUGCAGUUAAAAAGCUCGUAGUUGAAUUUUGGGUUUGGCCGAUUGGUCCGUUCUUGUAACGAGUACUGGUCGGUCGGGCCUCACCGCUUGGGGAAGGGUAAUGUCCUUUAUUGGGUGUUGCUCGGAGCCAAGACCUUUACCUUGAAAAAAUUAGAGUGUUUAAAGCAGGCUUAUGCCGGAAUACAUUAGCAUGGAAUAAUAGAAUAGGACAACGAUUCUAUUUUGUUGGUUUCUAGGACCGUUGUAAUGAUUAAUAGGGAUAGUUGGGGGCAUUAGUAUUCAAUUGUCAGAGGUGAAAUUCUUGGAUUUAUUGAAGACUAACUACUGCGAAAGCAUUUGCCAAGGAUGUUUUCAUUAAUCAAGAACGAAAGUUAGGGGAUCGAAGACGAUCAGAUACCGUCGUAGUCUUAACCAUAAACUAUGCCGACUAGGAAUCAGACGAUGUUAAUUUUUUAAUGACUCGUUUGGCACCUUACGG